UACAGAGGGUGCAAGCGUUGUUCGGAAUUAUUGGGCGUAAAGGGCGCGUAGGCGGUUCGGCAAGUCUUCAGUGAAAUCUCUGGGCUCAACUCAGAGUCUGCUGGGGAAACUGCCGGGCUUGAGUGUGGGAGAGGAGAGUGGAAUUCCUGGUGUAGCGGUGAAAUGCGCAGAUAUCAGGAGGAACACCGAUGGCGAAGGCAGGUCUCUGGGCAUUAACUGACGCUGAGGAGCGAAAGCAUGGGGAGCGAACAGG
rnacentral:rRNA from 1 species